CCUACGGGUGGCAGCAGUGGGGAAUAUUGGGCAAUGGAGGAAACUCUGACCCAGCAACGCCGCGUGAAUGAUGAAGGUCUUCGGAUUGGAAAGUUCUUUUCUAAGGGAAGAAGAAAGUGACGGUACCUUAGGAAUAAGCCUCGGCUAACUACGUGCCAGCGGCCGCGGUAAUACGGAGGAGGCGAGCGUUAUCCGGAAUGACUGGGCGUAAAGGGUGCGUAGGUGGUUUGGCAAGUUAGUAGCGUAACUCCAAGGCUUAACCUUGGAACUACUACUAACACUGGUGGACUUGAGUGCAGGAGAGGCAACCGGAAUUCCUAGUGUAGCGGUGGAAUGCGUAGAUAUUUGGAGGAACACCAGUGGCGAAGGCGGGUUGCUAGACUGUAACUGACACUGAGGCACGAAAGCGUGGGGAGCAAACAGGAUUAGAUACCCGAGUAGUC
rnacentral:rRNA from 1 species